rnacentral:rRNA from 1 species
UACGUAGGUGGCAAGCGUUGUCCGGAAUUAUUGGGCGUAAAGAGCUCGUAGGCGGCUUGUCGCGUCGUCCGUGAAAACCUGCAGCUCAACUGCAGGCUUGCGGUCGAUACGGGCAGGCUAGAGUUCGGUAGGGGAGAAUGGAAUUCCCGGUGUAGCGGUGAAAUGCGCAGAUAUCGGGAGGAACACCGGUGGCGAAGGCGGAUCUCUGGGCCAUUACUGACGCUGAGGAGCGAAAGCGUGGGGAGCGAACAGG